GCGAUUAUACCAGCACUAAUGCACCGGAUCACAUCAGAACUCCGAAGUUAAGUUUGCUUGGGCGUGAGCAGUACUAGGAUGGGUGACCCCCUGGGAAGUCCUCGUGUUGCACCU
rnacentral:rRNA from 1 species